rnacentral:rRNA from 1 species
AUUGAACGCUGGCGGCAUGCCUUACACAUGCAAGUCGAACGGCAGCACGGACUUCGGUCUGGUGGCGAGUGGCGAACGGGUGAGUAAUGCAUCGGAACGUACCCAAUCGUGGGGGAUAACGUAGCGAAAGUUACGCUAAUACCGCAUACGAUCUAAGGAUGAAAGCGGGGGAUCGCAAGACCUCGCGCGAAUGGAGCGGCCGAUGUUAGAUUAGGUAGUUGGUGGGGUAAAGGCUCACCAAGCCGACGAUCUAUAGCUGGUCUGAGAGGAUGAUCAGCCACACUGGGACUGAGACACGGCCCAGACUCCUACGGGAGGCAGCAGUGGGGAAUUUUGGACAAUGGGCGCAAGCCUGAUCCAGCCAUUCCGCGUGCAGGAUGAAGGCCCUCGGGUUGUAAACUGCUUUUGUACAGAACGAAAAGCUCUGGGUUAAUACCCUGGGGUCAUGACGGUACUGUAAGAAUAAGCACCGGCUAACUACGUGCCAGCCGCCGCAGUAAUAC